rnacentral:tRNA from 1 species
GAGGGUACAGCUCAGUGGUAGAGCACAUGCCUAGCAUGCAUGAGGUCCUGGGUUCAAGCCCCAGUACCUCCA